GAAAGAAACCAGAGGUGGGGCAGAAAACACCUUACCUACAGAGACACAAAGAUAAGAACUGCAUUCAACAUUGCAGAAACUGUGAAAGCAAGAAGACAGUGAAAUGAAAAAAUCAAAAUGUUGACAGAAAAAACCCACCAACCUAAGUUUCUGUACCCACUGAAAACACCCUUCAAAAGUGAAGGAGAAUUAAGGCCUUCCUCAGAAAAAUAAAAAUUCAAGAAACUUGUUGCCAGGAGACCUGUCUUGCAAGAAAUGUUAAAUGAAAUUCUUUAGAGGGAAACAAAAGAUAUAUAACUGAAACCUGGAUCAACAUUUUUUUAAAAAGAGCAUUAAAGAAUUGUGGUACAAUAAAAACCUAUGUAUUUAUUCUUAAUUGAUCUGACCAAGAAGUUCAUAGACAAUAACAAAUACACACAGAUAGAUUAUGUAUGCUUAAACACAAGUGAAAUGAGUAACACUAAUACAAGGAAUAGAAUGGAAGGAUGGGAGGGAGGAAUUGUGGUACAAUAAAAACAUGUAUUUAUUCAUAAUUGAUCUGACCAAUAAGUUUGUAGAUAAUAAUAAAUACACACAGAUAGAUUAUGUAUGCUUAUACACAAGUGAAAUAAGGAACAAUAAUACAAGGAAUGGAAUGGAAGGAUGGGAGGGAGGAAUCAGGUGUUUUCUUUGUUAAGCAGGUAGUCACCCGUGAAGUGGGAUAGUGUUAUCUGAAAGUGGACUUUAAUUGGUUGUAAAUGUAUAUUGAGGAAUUAGGUGUGUUCUUUGUUAAGCAGGUAGUCUUAUUUGUGGGAUAGUGGGAUAGUGUUAUUUGAAAGUGGACUUGAAUUUGUUAUAAAUGUUACUGAG
rnacentral:lncRNA from 10 species